rnacentral:rRNA from 1 species
UCGAGGGGCAGCAUGAACUUAGCUUGCUAAGUUGAUGGCGACGGCGCACGGGUGAGUAACACGUAUCCAACCUGCCGAUGACUCGGGGAUAGCCUUUCGAAAGAAAGAAUUNNAAUACCCGAUGGCAUAGUUCUUCCGCAUGGUAGAACUAUUAAAGAAUUUCGGUCAUCGAUGGGGAUGCGUUCCAUUAGGUUGGNUUGGCGGGGUAACGGCCACCAAGCCUUCGAUGGAUAANGGCGGCGGUUCUGAGAGGACAGGUCCCCCACAUUGGAACUGAGACACGGUCCAAACUCCUACGGGAGGCAGCAGUGAGGAAUAUUGGUCAAUGGACGAGAGUCUGAACCAGCCAAGUAGCGUGAAGGAUGACUGCCCUAUGGGUUGUAAACUUCUUUUAUACGGGAAUAAAGUGAGGCACGUGUGCCUUUUUGUAUGUACCGUAUGAA